GGAGAGGUGUCCGAGUGGUUGAAGGAGCACGCCUGGAAAGUGUGUAAGUGGGUUAAACCGCUUCGCGGGUUCGAAUCCCGCCCUCUCCGCCA
rnacentral:tRNA from 1 species